rnacentral:lncRNA from 1 species
CCUGAUGCCCUAUAACUUCCUUCCCCAUACUUAGGCAAAUGUGUUGAAUUGUUGUGAGGUUUCUGCAUGUAUUUAGGUGACUAAAAGGCUUCUUGGCCUCACAGACCACUCAGUCUAAUAAGCAGGACAAAUAGUUAAACAGGUGAAGUUCUGGGUCAUGUUUUAGGAUGGAACAGAAUGGUUCUGGAGAAGCUUAUUGAGAGAGAGAGAGAGAGAGAGAGAGAGAGAGAGAGAGAGAGAGAGAGAGAGAACACUUGUGUAGACGUCAGAUGACAGUAUUUUGGAGUUGUUUUUUCCCUAUGACCACUUGAGUUCUGGAAUCAAACCCAAGUUGCCAGACUGGCACAGCAAUUACCUUCAUCUACAGACCCAUCUUUCUGGUUUUAGGAGGCUUUGAAUACUGAGUCUAUGGAAGGUGGCACCUGGGAUUGUUAACGUGCAUUCCUCUGAGGGGAAAGAAGAGAUCUGAACAAAGACUGCCCUAUGUUCUCAGAGUAUGUUACAGUGAAAAUAUAGUUGUUCACAGUAACCCUAUGUUCUCAGAGUAUGUUACAGUGACAAUAUAUUCAUUCACUGUAGGAUGUAUGAGAGGAAGAAGAGAGUUCCUUCUCCCUUAGAAUGACCUUUCAAAGGUUUG